UUGUUCAACACCUUCCCGAACAAUCUGGUGAUGGGACUGAGUGCAUACUUAGGCAAAAUACCAAAGUUACCCAUAGAGCAAACAUUAACAGUGCUAGCACAGGUUUCCACUAGAAGACCUAUUCUAGGUCACAGGACUUAAUCAGUUAAGGCAGCAGUAUUAAAAUAAAACAGCAAUAGAAAGGAAAAAGUUCAGCACUUCAGACUGGCUGCUAGAACCCCAUUGGGAAGAUGGGGUCAGACCAGCGAUGUGAAAAAGCUGUUGUAUGAUGGAUGAAACGCCCAUCAGAAGAGGGGAAUUUAUUUGUCUGUGUUGAACAUUUAAGUGUUUUGACUCUAGUACCACCAGUCGAGUUCCUCUCCAGGCAUGUGUACACCCACAGCCACUACUGAAGUUAAAGGCACCGUGCAGAGCAGCUAGUAGACAUGGUCCUGAUAACCAAUAGCUUUCCCAAAACAAUAUUUCUGAAGACAGACAGAAUAAGAGACCCUCUUGAUAGAGGUUCAGUAAGCACCAACAUCACAUUAAAUAAUGUUUCCGUUUACAAAGUCAUUGGCAUAACUCUUUUAUACAGCAAAAAAGAUAUCCUUUUUGAAAUUUAAGUAAGGAGACACUGAACACCAGAACAAGUAUUUAUUCUACUUUCAAUCAUUAACACUAAGGUUACCAAAAUACAAAGCUAAGUUAACAAGCACUUAUUCAACUAUCAAUAAAGCAGGGCAACCAAAUAGAUGGCACUGCCUAACUGCUCAAAUGGGUACACUGCUGCCUCACGUCCAUUUACAAUGCCAUCUGGUGGCCUUCAAGCUCUUCACACUGGUGAUGACAUUGCUUUAAGAUGGCUUAAACAAUAUGCUGAAACGGCAUAUGCUAAAUAAGGUGACAAUAGCAG